GGGUGGAGAAAGAAGGAAAUUCCAUGAUUUGCAAGUCUGCCAGAUCCAGAGUGUGUGUUUAGGGCCAGGUUGCUGUCAGGCACAAAGGCAGGGAGAUGGCCUGUGUCAAAAUGAAGACCCACUGGGGCAAGAAGAAAGCCAGGCUGAAAGGAAGAGAAGCAGGUCUCGAGCUCCAACAAUUCCUGCCCAAUGAGGCUCAGGGGCACCAGAGACAAGAGCCCAAAGGCCAUUCUUCGAAGCUGAGCAAGAUUACAGGGUUUCUGAGAACACUGUGCAGAAAUAAAGGACCCCAAAAUGUCACUCAUCCACCAGAAACUUCCAAAGGUUUCUCCGAGUUGGUUCAGGAUGGGCGGUUCCUGGAGGCCUACCUGAGCAUCCUGACAUUGGUAAAGCAAGGGCAAGACUGCAAAUCCCUGUACCAGGUUGUGGCCCAGAGCAUGUGGCAGGCGGUCCAGCAGGCUCUGGAGGGCACUGAGUACAGCCCGGAGCUGGAGCUAAAGAUCCAGGCUGUGCUGGGCACCAUAGAGUGGACACAGGAGAAGCACCAGAGCUGGGAGGAUGGUGACCUCCAGGAUGGUGACCUCCAGGAUGGUGACCUCCAGGAUGGUGACCUCCAGGAUGGCGGAGUUGCCGCCUGGGGCAAUCAGCUGGAGAAGCUGCUGAGAAAUGAUGUGGAGGCCAGAGUGCCUGCACCGGGCCCCGGCGACCAGGUGGACUCGUACCUGGAGAAGCUAGAAGAGAUUGUGACACAGGGCCUGAAGUCCCCGCGGGCCAGCCUGUUGGGGCCCCAGCUCUGGAAGGUCUACAGGACACACUUCCAGGAGGUCCUCCUCAGCCGCCUCUGGGAGCUCACGCACUCCUUUGGCACCAACUGGGAAAGCUGUCACAUGCUGUACUCCUGGGCCAAGAUAACAUUGUUUGGGGAUCCAGGGUGAGUCCUCCUGGGGGACCUUGCAGUGUUGGGUGAGGCCACCACUCUGAGUGAGGACCCUCAGGCCAGGACUGUGGUCAACAAAGAACCUUUGGAGGGGCCACUGGGGUGGGACUGGUGGCCGGAGAAGGGAGGAUGCAGCUGGUCCUGGGGACAGCGUGUGCGCACAUGUGUGUGUGUGUAUGUUGGCGUGUUUGUUGUAUAGCAUGUGUGGGUGUGUUAGCAUGUUUUGUGCGUGCGUGUGUGUGUGUGUGUGAGAGAGAGAGAGAGAGAGAGAGAGAGAGAGAACACUGAGACUUGUCUACACCAAUAGAGCCUCUGGCUCCCUUUCUCAGCCCGGCUGCCCUCUGCAGUCACUGGGCCCUGUGCAGGGGUGGGGAGAGGGCAGCACAGGCCGGCAGGAGGCAGGACCCAGCUUAGAGUCCGCUGCCCUCAGUGCCGAGCUGACCUCCACACCCUAGCCCCAGCUCAGCUCUUUGCCCCUCAUGGCUCCUUCCAACCCAUCAGGAAGACACUUGUGAGUGCACCUCCCACCUCCCAGGAGCCCACGGUCAGGCACCUCUUAGAUCCCGUGAUGUUUGUUCCCUGGAUGUCCCGAAUGCAGAAGAAGCUGGUGGGACUAAUCAAGGUAAAUGGAUCCAGGAGUAUCCCUCACCCAGUGGCCUCCCUGUCCUGCAUCUGGGGAACAGCAGGCAAGGGAAUGGGCUAGGGUGGGUCCUGGGUGGGGGGCUGAGGGGUGGUGUGCUGAUUCUGUGCCCUGAGCACUGUCACAUGGGAGGUGAGAGUGUGCCGAGGCUCUACGGUGGGAGGAACCCUGCCUAGUGGGCCUGUAGGGAGAGCACCAGGCCACAGGUCUCUGCCUUGACUGGUGAGUGCAGUCCAGCAUCUUCCACACCGGGGGCUACGGGGCAGGGCCAGCGGGCCUCAGGUGGGCGCCUGCGGUUAAUCCACGCAGACACAGUGAGGAUUCAAGGGGACAUCACAGUCUCCUACUGGGGUUGAAACGUGAUUUCCUAUAAGGGCACCCCAGGUCUUGGCACAGAUGUGUCGCGCGUCCUAGGGACUUGUGGAAGAGAUGUUUGGGGAUGCAGGGAGGCUCUCGGCCAUUCUUAGCUAACAGACUGAGAAACUAAGCUUUAUGACAGUAAGGUAAAGAAUCCGUAUCGAUUUAGCUGAGAUUUUUCCAGUAACUGGUAUAUAAACGCUGAGCCUUUUUUGGGUUCCUUGGAGCACAUGGGUUUGAGGCCCUCUUUCCUUCAUGGUUCUCCCCGAAACUGCGGCAUUGCAGUCUGGGCUGAAUUAAGGAAGAUAGGGCUUAUUCCCUGCUCUCCCACUCUGCACCUGUCAAGGGCCACGCGGUGGUGUCCAGUGGUCCAUUCAGACACGCAGCCAGGAAGAACGUGACAACGCGCCUUACUGCGGUGGUGCCGUCAAGAGGCCAAGUGGGAGUGGUGCUGUUCCAUCCCCGGGCACCUGUGCCAGGCGAGGGCUGGCAUCAGCUGGACGUGGGGUUGGGAUCCUCUCUGGACCAGACCCAGGAGGAGGGCAGGGUGUGGCCGGGGCGGGGUAGGAGUGGGAAAGUGCUGAGUGCUGAGCCGGAGAGAAUUCACUUCUAGGCGAUCCCCUUCUCCAGAUAAGAAGGCCAAGGCCUGCAGAGGACCCAGCAGGCCUCCUGGGCUAAGAGUGAAAUUGGGUGGGAGCAUGGGCAGCCAGUGUGAGCCCCCCGAGACUGCACUGCACUGGCCGUGUGCAAGUCCAGAUGAGGAGGACAGCUUCCCCAGGGAACCUGCCAGAGGCGGCCUUUAUCACUGCCGUGGUCGGGUGGGGAGGUCACACUUGGGUUCUUGUCCAGCAAUUGGUCCUCAGCGCCCCAGGUCUCUCUGGAGCCGCCUGGUCCCCAGCAGUCCACCGCCCUUGUGUGCCCCGGGGCUGUGGGUCUCUGGGAGCCCCUCUCGGGUACCCUCAUGGAAGGGCUCUGGCUGCCUAGGAGUGGCAGUUGCUCGGUGCCUACGGGUGAAUGAGUGUGUGGGGCAUGGGCGCAAUCACCCUGCCAGGAUCGAGGAGGACAGUGUAUCUAGAAGGUGCUUCACAGGCCAUCCAUGAUGGAUGGAGGGCUGGAGGCCGUGAAAGAGGGGUUUUACUCAGAAAUGGGACCGUCAGGGUGGGGGGAUUUCAGGCUGCUGGUCAAUGGUCCCCCUUGCCGGCUCUGGUUCUCACCCUCGCUCCUGUCUUCCGUUGGAGCUGGGCCUGGUGUGCCCCAGAGAGGAGCAUGGGGAUAGAAGUUGUUUUCACUGUUUUCUGGGCAGGAAAGCUUGGAGGAACAACUAGAAAAUGUCCUGAUCUGUGAAUGGAAAACAUGGGCCCAGGCUUCCUCCCUGACGUUUAUCGAAAUCUUCCAGGUACAUGGCCAUCGGCACUUUUCCAGCCCACCAUGCAGGGUUCCUGGCCCUUCCUGAGCACCCGGCUUGGAAGGGAGGGGCCCUGGAAGGAUUGGGGUGGGGGGGGGUGACGGCUGACGGGUGGUGGGGCCCAUGUGCAGCAAGGAUGAGUGGCACACUGGAGGUUGGGGCUCCGGGCAUCAAAGUGUCAGUGUCUGAGGGCGGUGGGCAGAGGCAGAUGAGGUCCUAGCACAGGGCUGAGGGGCAUCUCUUCUGGGGAGAGGCCUCCUCCUGGAAUGUCUCUGCUCAUGAAGCCCGUUCCAACCUCAGGGAGGACUUGCAUAGAGAGAGACCCGUGUCUGGGGACACCUCGGGGAGAGGGUUGAGCAGCCCAUUGGGGGUGGAGAGGCCACCAGUGGGUGUGUGUUGGGGCCUGCGCUCUUCUUUUAGAGGAUCCGGUGCAGGGGGUUUCUGUUUCUUCUCUUGACCGCUCAGGGUUAGAGGGAGAAGAGGAGGUGCUCUUAAGCAUCCUUAAUGCCUUUAUCCCAAGCAGUGCUGUUCAGUGUCAGGUGGGGCUGGGGCAGCUUCCGGGGCCCACAGGAGAAGCCCAGCCCUGUGUGGAGAUGAGGAAGUUGUUCAGUCUGGCUGAUGGCAGGAUACAGUGGAGGGCUCAAGGGAGAGAGGCCUGGCAAGACAGGUGGGCUUGGGAGGGGCAGUGAGGGCCUGGUGGGAGGUGUCUACUCUUUGCCAUCUGCAGCAGGCAGCCUGGCAGGGAGGUGUGGGGGGGGUGGCCUGUGCACUCCAGCCCUUCCUGCAAGGACAGGUGUAUCAGGUACAAAGUUGGGGGGGGGAACACAUUCUCCUAGGGUCCACUGGCUUUGUGACUGAUCCCUGGGUCCCCCUGAGAGCCCACUUAUUUUGAUUGACAGCUGCUGGAACAAAACAUUAAUGCAGUACAACCCAUUGGACCACCUAUCACUAGCCAGGUGCAAUCCAUGGUUCUGGAAACAUUUUCAAAGUUUCUGAAAAGGUAAGUGAAAAGGUGGUCCUUGCCCAGAGAAGGAGGCGUGGGUGACUGGGUCGACCAAACCCCAGUUGGAGUGCUAACCAAGCUUCUAACCAUGGGCCAGCAGGUGUUUGGCCAGUUCCCGAAGCAGGGGAAGCUUCUGGCAUUGGCUUUGGGUGCUCCCAGUUUGGCCUGCUUCACCUCCUACCUUCCCUCUGGAAAUGUCCCAUGUGACAUGGUGGCUCUAGCCUCGUGUGGCUGUUGAGCUAGUUCCAUGGAGGGACUACAGUUAAAUUUUAUUUAAUUUUAAUUAAUUGACCUUUAAACACCAAGUGGGGCUGUGGCUCCCCUGCUGGACAGCAGGAUGGAACACACCCAGCUCUGCCCCAGUCUAGGAUUUGGGUGGGGACCCUGCCUCUUUCUGACUGGCUAGGGCUGGGUUCAGGGUCAGUGUCCUGGGUGCCUCAGGCCCCAAGCAUGUCUUGGACGACACACUGUGUAGACCACAUCACGAGGCUCUUUUCUCUGGGGCCUUCAGAGUGGCUGUGCUCACCUGGGAUGGGCUCCUUAAUGGGGCAAACACUAAGCAGGUUACUUAACAGAGACCAGAAAUGUGGAUUUUUAGGUGAAAUCAGCCAGGUUUUAAAUACUUACGAAAAUGUGGUUGGGGGAUCCCUGGGUGGCUCAGCGGUUUAGCGCCUGCCUUCCGCCCAGGGCCUGAUCCUGGAGACCUGGAAUCGAGUCCCACAUGGGGCUCCCUGCAUGGAGCCUGCUUCUCCCUCUGCCUGUGUCUCUGCCUCUCUCUCUCUCUUUCUGUGUGUCUCUCAUUAAUAAAUAACUAAAAUCUUUAAAAGAAAUGAAAAUG
rnacentral:lncRNA from 1 species